AACGCUAGCUACAGGCUUAACACAUGCAAGUCGAGGGGCAGCAUGGUCUUAGCUUGCUAAGACUGAUGGCGACCGGCGCACGGGUGAGUAACACGUAUCCAACCUGGCCCAUACUCGGGUAUAGCCUCUCGAGAGGGAGAUUAAUCCCCGAUGUUGUUGUUAUGUCGCAUGAUGUUUCAACCAAAGAAUUUCGGUAUGGGAUGGGGAUGCGUUCCAUUAGCUUGUUGGCGGGGUAACGGCCCACCAAGGCGACGAUGGAUAGGGGUUCUGAGAGGAAGGUCCCCCACGCUGGAACUGAGACACGGUCCAGACUCCUACGGGAGGCAGCAGUGAGGAAUAUUGGUCAAUGGGCGUAAGCCUGAACCAGCCAAGUAGCGUGAAGGAUGACUGCCCUACGGGUUGUAAACUUCUUUUGUAUGGGAAUAAAGUUCAGUACGUGUACUGUUUUGUAUGUACCAUACGAAUAAGCAUCGGCUAAUUCCGUGCCAGCAGCCGCGGUAAUACGGAAGAUGCGAGCGUUAUCCGGAUUUAUUGGGUUUAAAGGGAGCGUAGGCGGGUUUUUAAGCCAGCUGUGAAAGUUUGCGGCUCAACCGUAAAAUUGCAGUUGGAACUGGAGACCUUGAGUGUGCAUAAGGUGGAUGGAAUUCGUGGUGUAGCGGUGAAAUGCUUAGAUAUCACGAAGAACUCCGAUUG
rnacentral:rRNA from 1 species